AAUAAAGUUUUGAUUAGAAAAAGUAACCAGCUCUGAAUGUAAAGAGAGUUCCGUAGCUGAGAAGGAAUCAUUUCGACUGGUGAAAACACAUCUAUGAACUAAUUGAUUGAACGGAGUAGAUCAAUUCGCAGGUUUAGCGUUAUCAGGGUUACCGCAACUGUUAUCGGGUUUCAAAGUAAACCGAUGAGUAGUUGUUGGCAACGUAAGGCAGUCUAUCGUGAGGUAGCUGCAAAUUGGGGUGGAACCGCGAUUAAAAUUCGUCCUCGAA
rnacentral:ncRNA from 1 species